UACGUAGGGUGCGAGCGUUAAUCGGAAUUACUGGGCGUAAAGCGUGCGCAGGCGGUUUUGUAAGCCAGAUGUGAAAGCCCCGGGCUUAACCUGGGAAUGGCAUUUGGGACUGCAAGGCUUGAGUGCGGCAGAGGAGACUGGAAUUCCUGGUGUAGCAGUGAAAUGCGUAGAUAUCUGGAGGAACACCGGUGGCGAAGGCGGCAUCCUGGACCGGUAUUGACGCUGAUGCGCGAAAGCCAGGGGAGCAAACGGG
rnacentral:rRNA from 1 species